CUCACUGGGUGCCGGGAAGGAGCCCCGCCCCGUCCGCGUGCGCGCUCGCGAGCAGGCGCGCCGGGGGUUGCCGCGGCCGCGCGCUCCCUCGAGGGGGCGUGUCCUUUCCGGGCGGCGCGGGCCGGGAGGGUCCCUGUCAACUUGCUUCAUUGAGCGGCUGGCGGUGAGGAAGCGUUGCGCUCCCUGUGGGGCGGGCUCCACCUGCCUGCGGUUAGAUGGAGGAUCACUUUGUUCCGAGAAAUCCCGGGCGUGCGAAGGAGGAUGUGAAACGGAACGACCCGUUUCUGUGCGGUCGGCUUUGUUUAUUUGCCUCCUCACAAGACUCCUCCUGCCCCUGACGCCACCGAACCCCAAGGGGCGGCAAACGGCUGCUAUGGUCGCUGCGGCCAGACGGGGUCGCCAGCUCCGUACUCAACGGCCCGGCCCGGCAGCACCAGGGAUCGCCUGCCCCAACCGGGUAGAAGGCAUAUUCCUCUUUCAGAAUGAGGAUGGAGGUGGACCUCAUGAUGAAAAUGAACAUGAUGUGGAAAAUAUGAAGAUGGAAUCUACAAGAUAGGGAUGCUGAGCAGAAAGAUAAGAGUUUGGGUCACUUGACAUCUUGAAGCUGCUGCAGCAGUUCUAGACUGGCUACAUCUGGACUUACUUUUAUGUCUGAAAAACCCCAAUUUGGUUUUCUGUUAUGUGUAGCUAAAAUUUUUCUCAGCUAAUACAUAAAUUAUCAUGUUGUCUUCCUGCUUGCAGGCUCUACCCGUUGGAUAGUAAUAUGAUAUAGCAUGUGAGAGAUAUAAAAGCUGUCACAAAGCAAUACAUCAACUCCUAUAUAUAGCACUUUUUGCCAAUUCUACACUUAUACCAAAUUAUAUGAUUAAGAAACAUGUUUAUUAAAGAAAAAAUAGAAAGUAGAGAGGAGACCAAAGAAUCUAAAGUCCCAUUUUAACAUUUUUCUAUAGUUCCAUCUUGUUUUAUUUAAAGAUUUUUUCUAUUGUAACAUCACUGUAUAGUCAUAUUUAACUUAACACUAUAUGAUAACUUGCUUUUCAUGUUAACACAGUCUUUUAAACAAAUAGCUGUUGAAUAUUCCAAAUAAAUAUAAACAAGUUUUA